GAGAGCUCCAUAAGGGGAAGUUCUGGAGAUGGAAAAUCCAAGGGAGGAAGAUUGGGGAUUGGAAUGUCCUUGGCUUUCCAGAAAUUUGGCGAAAUCACCAUCCUGUGACUAGCUCCAGCUAGAACCACUAGGAAACAGAAUAAAAGUAGGUAGGUAUGAAGCA
rnacentral:lncRNA from 13 species